ACGCUGGCGGCGUGCCUAUACAUGCAAGUCGAGCGGAAUGGAUUAAGAGCUUGCUCUUAUGAAGUUAGCGGCGGACGGGUGAGUAAAACGUGGGUAACCUGCCCUUAAAGACUGGGAUAAACUCCGGGAAACCGGGGCUAAUACCGGAUAACAUUUUGAACCGCAUGGUUCGAAAAUUGAAAGGCGGCUCGGCUUGUACUUAUGGAUGGACCCGCGUCGCAUUAGCUAGUUGGUGAGGUAACGGCUCACCAAGGCAACGAUGCGUAGCCGACCUGAGAGGGUGAUCGGCCACACUGGGACUGAGACACGGCCCAGACUCCUACGGGAGGCAGCAGUAGGGAAUCUUCCGCAAUGGACGAAAGUCUGACGGAGCAACGCCGCGUGAGUGAUGAAGGCUUUCGGGUCGUAAAACUCUGUUGUUAGGGAAGAACAAGUGCUAGUUGAAUAAGCUGGCACCUUGACGGUACCUAACCAGAAAGCCACGGCUAACUACGUGCCAGCAGCCGCGGUAAUACGUAGGUGGCAAGCGUUAUCCGGAAUUAUUGGGCGUAAAGCGCGCGCAGGUGGUUUCUUAAGUCUGAUGUGAAAGCCCACGGCUCAACCGUGGAGGGUCAUUGGNAACUGGGAGACUUGAGUGCAGAAGANGAAAGUGGAAUUCCAUGUGUAGCGGUNAAAUGCGUAGAGAUAUGGAGGAACACCAGUGGGGAAGGCGACUUUCUGGUUUGUAACUGACACUGAGGCGCGAAAGCGAGGGGAGCAAACAGGAUUAGAUACCCAGGUAGUCCCCGCCGUAAACGAGAGUGCA
rnacentral:rRNA from 1 species